rnacentral:rRNA from 1 species
CUACGGGGCGCAGCAGUAAGGAAUAUUGCGCAAUGGAGGCAACUCUGACGCAGCCAUGCCGCGUGCAGGACUGAAGGCCUUAUGGGUCGUAAACUGCUUUUAUUUAGGAAUAAACUCUUGUACGUGUACGAGACUGAAGGUACUAAAUGAAUAAGCACCGGCUAACGCCGUGCCAGCAGCCGCGGUAAUACGGAGGGUGCAAGCGUUAUCCGGAUUUAUUGGGUUUAAAGGGUGCGCAGGCGGACUAUUAAGUCAGAGGUGAAAUCCCGGAGCUCAACUUCGGAACUGCCUUUGAUACUGGUAGUCUUGAAUACGGUUGAAGUAGGCGGAAUGUAGCAUGUAGCGGUGAAAUGCAUAGAGAUGCUACAGAACACCGAUCGCGAAGGCAGCUUACUAAGCCGAUAUUGACGCUCAGGCACGAAGGCGUGGGGAGCGAACAGGAUUAGAUACCCGAGUAGUC